AAGGAGAGAGGGAGAACAGGGAAAGGAAAAGGAAAGGGAGAAGAAGGAAAGGGGAAGAAAAGAAAAGGAAAGACAGCAACUUAAACUGAUGGCAGUUCAUCUAUCUGUCACACAACAGUCCAUUCAGGCAAGGGUUCAGGCCUUCCUCGCCCUGGCCCCCCGUUGUGUGCCCCAGUUGGCUACUCUAGGUCUUAUCUCCCAGCCAGCAGGAUGUGGAGAAAGGACCAGGUGAGUGCCCUCACAAUCCUUUUAAUGGCAAGGCCUAGGAGUGGCACACAUCACUUCUACCAUGUAUCAUUGACCAUAACCUUAUAGCCACACCAGCAAUAACGGAGGGCUGGAUCCUACACUUCCCACAAAAGUAAAAAAUAUAUUGAAUGAAUUGACAUUUAUUCCACAAACAUUGUGUGAUUGAGACUUUCAGCAGUUACUUCUUUUAAUAUUCUCUGACUAGAUAUCAUCAGCUUGGUAGCUGGGGUUCACCAAGCCACUGGAGAGGUUACAUAAUCUUACCGAGGUCUCAGCAUCUCCUUUAUUCAGCCAGAACUAAUUCCAAGUCUGUUUGAUUCCAAAACUACUGUUCUUCCUGGAAAACUAAUGAGGCAAUCAACUGCAUGACUUUCUGCUAGGAAGAUUGAACUGGAAUUGGAGCACCCAGGUUCACUGUCACAUACAGGAUUGAAGCCUUCACAUCUGACACUCAACUUUGCAGGACACAAGGGACCAAAAGGGAGGAAUUUCCCCCUGUGGGGCAUCAAGGAGUUUUGUAAAAGGGGUAUGGGGUCUUUCAACUGAGAGACAUGAAAGAGGGCCGCGGAGAGGGGACAUUUGGAAAGGUCUCUUUUUGGAAAACCGAAGCCAUAAACAAACCCUUCCCUUCUUUGGUUAAGAGUAUGAAUAGAUUAGAUUCAGUGACA